CCUACGGGGGGCAGCAGUGGGGAAUAUUGGACAAUGGGGGCAACCCUGAUCCAGCCAUGCCGCGUGUGUGAAGAAGGCCCUCGGGUUGUAAAGCACUUUCAGUGAGGAAGAACGCCUGGAGGUUAAUACCCAUCAGGAAAGACAUCACUCACAGAAGAAGCACCGGCUAACUCCGUGCCAGCAGCCGCGGUAAUACGGAGGGUGCGAGCGUUAAUCGGAAUUACUGGGCGUAAAGCGCGCGUAGUGGGUUGAUAAGCCGGUUGGGAAAGCCCCGGGCUCAACCUGGGAACGGCAUCCGGAACUGUCAAGCUAGAGUGCAGGAGAGGAAGGUAGAAUUCCCGGUGUAGCGGUGAAAUGCGUAGAGAUCGGGAGGAAUACCAGUGGCGAAGGCGGCCUUCUGGACUGACACUGACACUGAGGUGCGAAAGCGUGGGUAGCAAACAGGAUUAGAUACCCGUGUAGUC
rnacentral:rRNA from 1 species